CGAAAUGUCAUGUGUCUGAGCGAGCGUUGAGGGGGGCUGCGAUGUAUUGUAUAUGCUGGGAACUAUGGCAUGCACCAAUCGACGAUGUAAACAGUCACAUUGUAAUGGUUGUGUUGGGUUUCGAGUCUCCUGUUGGUGUUAACGGAACUGUCCGGAGUGGAUCGACAGACAUGCCAAAACAAAUUAAGUCACAUCAGACAAUAUUACAGUUUUUCUCGGUUGCGUUGGUAAUACGAAACGUAUUAGGAUGAAUCUCUGUUGAAUUGUCUUGGCAUGAGUUUGACAUGUAAAACGGUUGAACGGGUGGUCAUAAUAUGUCAAGCAUAUUUCUACGCAUCUGCUUCAAACUUUUUUUUUUCCCAGAGGCAAAGUUUGACUUUCUAACCGAGAGAAAUGUGUGAAGCAUUUGAUCAGCAAGCGAUGAGCUGGUUUUCUGAGCUCGCUAGUUAAGAUAAUUGUUGUGAUGAACACUGCAGUGUAAUUUCGACAGUGUUGCACAUAGUUUUUUUUUUUUUUUUUUUUUUACCGAAGGGCAUACUCCCAUGUCCGCAUGUCAACUUUUUUUGUUGUUGUUUUAAUUUCUUUCUGUGUGCUUGGCAGUGCUCUUUUUCUUUUUGUAUCUCAACGAAAUGGUUGUCAACAAAUUACCGCGCAAACAGUAAAAAAUGAAAUGAA